rnacentral:misc_RNA from 1 species
AGGACAUCAAACAGAACAAAAUACAAAUCAGGUAUAGAAAGUUCUCCAGAGGAAAUUUCUAGUGUUGCCUCACCAAGAGACUGGUGAGAAAGAAGCUGAGGAUGUGCGUAUAAUAUCUACCAGUGUUGCGUUGGUGUCUAUAUGGCAGUAUUUAGCAACCUAAGGUAAUCUUUAUCCAAUUCCUUAUUUUUGACGCCAAAGAUAGGAUUUGUAUACCCAUGAACUUAGUGGUACUGGAGACCAAUUGAGAGCAAAAGGCACAAAUAAUUUUACAUUGUCAUACAAGAAAUUUUGUACAAAGCACUGUAGAAAGGAGAAAAUUUUGCUUUCAAUGAAAGUGAUCACUGAGUGUUGAACAGUAGCAAAAGGGUAAACUUCAGCCACAAAAGCGACCAGUGUGACAAUACGCUUUGCAGUGGAGCAACAAAGCAUGACAGAGGAAUCCAUAUGAAUUCAGCAACAUAUACAAUUCACCAGUCUUGAUAUGGUACUUUUUGAUCUAUCCAUAUGGCUCUUGAUGAGAAGAGAUGAUGCUGGGAUGACUUGUUAUUUUCAAGUCUUUGGUCAGGCCUUGAGCUUGCUGGCCCUGGAGAUUGGAGGAUCAAAACUCAAAAGCUCUCUUAAAUGUGUAGAUAUGAAAAUAACCUUUGGCCAGUCCUUCAAUUGGUCUGGGUCAUAUGCUGCCAUUCUUUGGACUUGAACCUGUUUUCCACUCUUUACAGCCAUUUGUCGGCAUCAAGCAAAGAUGUUUCUGGAUUAAGCACAAUCCUUAAAACCAUAAUUCCUCAUCUUCUCUAAUUUCCACAGAUGGAAUGCAAGCUAAUUCUUGCGACUCUCUCCCUUUACCCUUCUGGCAGCUUUGUUGAAGUAGAGGGCAGUCGUAGAUAUGCAAACUCAAAAGAGAGGGAGGCAGACCAUCCUUUGGAAUGGAGUCAAGCUUAGGGCAUCUCUUGAUCUUCAUAUAUUCAAGUGAUGUGAGGC